CUUUUUUUUUUUUUUGAGAAUGAGAGAGAGACAGAGGUAAGGGGAGGAGUAGAAGAAGAGAAAUCCAAGCAGGCUCCAUGCCCAGUCAGGAGCCCCUUGUGGGCCUCAAUCCCACAACCCUGAGAUCACGACCUUAGCUGAAAUCAAGAGUUGGCUGUUCAACUGACUGAGCCACCCAGAUGCCUCAAGAGCGGGGGAGGUUUCUUAUUCAUGCUUGUGUCUUUAGUAAGAGACAUACAAUUUUAUUCACAGUAAGAAAUCCACAUUUGAUAAAUGAGUGAAACACUGGUGGCUACAGAGAAGAGACGGGGCUGAGGGAGACCACCAAGGAGGCCAGGUGGGGGAGGCUGAGAGUAAUUUUGCCCGAAAGCAAGGCUGUCAUCGUUAAAGCUGCUGAUCAACUCUUCUGAGUCUUUGGAGGGACCCAGAGUUUCAGUUUCAAGCAGAGAACAAGAGGUGGGCACUGUGCUGGACAUUUCCAUCUCCAGACACCUUCCGUCCAUCUGGCCCCAGCACACACUGCUCCAGAGGAGGCUGGCAGGGCAGGCAGCUGGCCAUGCUGACCCCGCCUCCUGUUCCACCUGCACUGAGGGAUGCUAGUCGGUGUCCAUCCUGAGCCCUUUGCAGACGUGCUGUGUUGUCUUAUUCGAGCUCCUGAGGAA
rnacentral:lncRNA from 1 species